CAGAAUCUUUCCCGCCUCUUGAGAGACCACAUGGCGUUCUGGUGGCAGUUUUUGGCCAAGGCUGGAAGCCAAGAACACUUCUUAAUUUUGAUCAUGGACUUGACAUUGUGGUCGGCGGUGCAUGGUGCAGUGCAGAGAUUUCUUGCCUGGCGUAUAACAAUGCGUGUUCAAUGGGGUAGCCUCUUCUCACGCACAAGUCUCAAGAGAGGCAGACAUCGACAACUAUUCAGAAUAACCACAACAAAAUUCUGACACAGGUGGUUAGUGGGAGAAGGAACCUGAGACCGCAACCGAUUCUGCUGCAAGGGUGGUGUGUAGAAGAUAGUUGUAGCAAGCAUAUAAGUCACUCUGGAAAAAGGCUUCGUGACUGAGCUGGCGAAGAAGAUGUCAGUGGUGGAAGCGGACAUGUUAUAGAAGAUGUUGAGGGUGGCACCGGAGGUAAUGGCCAAAUGGGGUUCCUCGGCACCGAAGAGAAGGAUGCUGCAGCGACACCGACACGUACUGGGUUCCGUUUCCAACCAGAGAGAACUUAUGAACGGUAUGUGUGCGAUCCAUUCAUUCUUUCGUUUGAUCCUUCCUUAUUCCUCUCAACUCAGAUUAAUUUUAUUUUGUAAUUAUGCAUGAUUUUGAUGGAUCAAUAAAUUUAGUGGCAUUAAUUGCAAUGAGAAAUAUCGUAUAUCCAUAAACUUCA